rnacentral:rRNA from 1 species
CUACGUGCCAGCAGCCGCGGUCAUACGUAGGGUGCAAGCAUUAUCCGGAGUGACUGGGCGUAAAGAGUUGCGUAGGCGGUUUAAUAAGUGAAUAGUGAAACCUGGUGGCUCAACCAUACAGACUAUUAUUCAAACUGUUAAACUCGAGAAUGGUAGAGGUAACUGGAAUUUCUAGUGUAGGAGUGAAAUCCGUAGAUAUCAGAAGGAACACCGAUGGCGAAGGCAGGUCUCUGGGCUGUAACUGACGCUGAGAAGCGAAAGCAUGGGGAGCGAACAGGAUUAGAUACCCUGGUAGUCCAUGCCGUAAACGUUGGGCACUAGGUGUGGGGGACAUUCCACGUUUUCCGCGCCGUAGCUAACGCAUUAAGUGCCCCGCCUGGGGAGUACGGCCGCAAGGCUAAAACUCAAAGAAAUUGACGGGGACCCGCACAAGCGGUGGAGCAUGUGGUUUAAUUCGAAGCAACGCGAAGAACCUUACCAGGUCUUGACAUCCCUCUGACCGCUCUAGAGAUAGAGUUUUC